UCAAGUAAUUAAGUGCAUGUGGUGGAUGCCUUGGCAGUCAGAGGCGAUGAAAGACGUGAUAGCCUGCGAAAAGCUCCGGGGAGGCGGCAAAUAUCCUUUGAUCCGGAGAUGUCUGAAUGGGGGAACCCACCUACUUUAAGGUAGGUAUUGCAACAUGAAUACAUAGUGUUGCAAGGCGAACGAGGGGAAGUGAAACAUCUCAGUACCCUUAGGAAAAGAAAUCAAUUGAGAUUCCCUCAGUAGCGGCGAGCGAACGGGGAUCAGCCCAUUAAGUUAUGUGUGUUUUAGUGGAACGCUCUGGGAAGUGCGAACGUAGAGGGUGAUAUUCCCGUACACGAAAGGGCACACAUAAUGAUGACGAGUAGGGCGAGGCACGUGAAACCUUGUCUGAAUAUGGGGGGACCAUCCUCCAAGGCUAAAUACUCCUGACUGACCGAUAGUGAACCAGUACCGUGAGGGAAAGGCGAAAAGAACCCCUGUGAGGGGAGUGAAAUAGAUCCUGAAACCGCAUGCAUACAAGCAGUGGGAGCACCUUCGUGGUGUGACUGCGUACCUUUUGUAUAAUGGGUCAGCGACUUAUAUUCAGUAGCGAGGUUAACCGUAUAGGGGAGCCGUAGAGAAAUCGAGUCUUAAUAGGGCGUUUAGUUGCUGGGUAUAGACCCGAAACCAGGCGAUCUAUCCAUGAGCAGGUUGAAGGUUGGGUAACACUAACUGGAGGACCGAACCCACUGUCGUUGAAAAGCCAGGGGAUGACUUGUGGAUAGGGGUGAAAGGCUAAUCAAGCCUGGUGAUAGCUGGUUCUCCCCGAAAGCUAUUUAGGUAGCGCCUCGGACGAAUACCAUAGGGGGUAGAGCACUGUUUCGGCUAGGGGGUCAUCCCGACUUACCAAACCGAUGCAAACUCCGAAUACCUAUGAGUACUAUCCGGGAGACAGACUGCGGGUGCUAACGUCCGUAGUCAAGAGGAAAACAAUCCAGACCGCCAGCUAAGGCCCCAAAAUCAUAGUUAAGUGGGAAACGAUGUGGGAAGGCAUAGACAGCUAGGAGGUUGGCUUAGAAGCAGCCACCCUUUAAAGAAAGCGUAAUAGCUCACUAGUCGAGUCGGCCUGCGCGGAAGAUGUAACGGGGCUAAAACUAUGUGCCGAAGCUGCGGAUGUAUACUUUGUAUACGUGGUAGGGGAGCGUUCUGUAAGCCGAUGAAGGUGUGUUGAGAAGCAUGCUGGAGGUAUCAGAAGUGCGAAUGCUGACGUGAGUAACGACAAAACGGGUGAAAAACCCGUUCGCCGAAAGACCAAGGGUUCCAGUCCAACGUUAAUCGGGGCUGGGUGAGUCGACCCCUAAGGCGAGGCCGAAAGGCGUAGUCGAUGGGAAAAUGGUUAAUAUUCCAUUACUUCUGUGUAAUGCGAUGAGAGGACGGAGAAGGCUAAAUCAGCCUGGCGUUGGUUGUCCAGGUGAAAGGAUGUAGGCAUGUAUCUUAGGCAAAUCCGGGGUACUCUAUGCUGAGAUCUGAUAGCAAGCUGUACUUGUACAGCGAAGUGGUUGAUGCCAUGCUUCCAGGAAAAGUCUCUAAGCUUCAGUUACACAGGAAUCGUACCCGAAACCGACACAGGUGGUCAGGUCGAGUAGACCAAGGCGCUUGAGAGAACUCUGCUGAAGGAACUAGGCAAAAUGGUACCGUAACUUCGGGAGAAGGUACGCUGUUGUUGGUGAUGGAACUCGCUUCCUGAGCUGACGACAGCCGCAGAAACCAGGCCGCUGCAACUGUUUAUUAAAAACAUAGCACUCUGCAAACACGAAAGUGGACGUAUAGGGUGUGAUGCCUGCCCGGUGCUGGAAGGUUAAUUGAUGGGGUUAGCGUAAGCGAAGCUCUUGAUCGAAGCCCCAGUAAACGGCGGCCGUAACUAUAACGGUCCUAAGGUAGCGAAAUUCCUUGUCGGGUAAGUUCCGACCUGCACGAAUGGCAUAAUGAUGGCGGCGCUGUCUCCAGCAGAGGCUCAGUGAAAUCGAAAUCGCUGUGAAGAUGCAGUGUACCCGCGGCUAGACGGAAAGACCCCGUGAACCUUUACUGCAGCUUGACACUGAACUUUGACCUUACUUGUGUAGGAUAGGUGGGAGGCUUUGAAGCUGGAACGCUAGUUCCAGUGGAGCCGUCCUUGAAAUACCACCCUGGUAAUGUUGAGGUUCUAACUCUGUCCCGUGAUCCGGGACGAGGACCGUGUCUGGUGGGUAGUUUGACUGGGGCGGUCUCCUCCUAAAGAGUAACGGAGGAGUACGAAGGUGCGCUCAGCGUGGUCGGAAAUCACGCGUAGAGUAUAAAGGCAAAAGCGCGCUUAACUGCGAGACCCACAAGUCGAGCAGGUACGAAAGUAGGUCUUAGUGAUCCGGUGGUUCUGUAUGGAAGGGCCAUCGCUCAACGGAUAAAAGGUACUCUGGGGAUAACAGGCUGAUACCGCCCAAGAGUUCAUAUCGACGGCGGUGUUUGGCACCUCGAUGUCGGCUCAUCUCAUCCUGGGGCUGAAGCAGGUCCCAAGGGUAUGGCUGUUCGCCAUUUAAAGAGGUACGCGAGCUGGGUUUAGAACGUCGUGAGACAGUUCGGUCCCUAUCUACCGUGGGCGCUGGAAAUUUGAGAGGAUCUGCUCCUAGUACGAGAGGACCAGAGUGGACGAACCUCUGGUGUACCGGUUGUGACGCCAGUCGCAUCGCCGGGUAGCUAUGUUCGGAAGGGAUAACCGCUGAAAGCAUCUAAGCGGGAAGCCUACCUCAAGAUAAGAUUUCCCUAGGACUUUAUGUCCUCUAAAGAGCCGUUCGAGACUAGGACGUUGAUAGGUUGGAUGUGGAAGCAUAGUGAUAUGUGAAGCUGACCAAUACUAAUUG
rnacentral:rRNA from 2 species